UGUUUGAGCACCAGUGUGAGUUAUGAGAUACACCGUGUGCCUUCCCCGACCAGGUCUGAGACCGAACACCAGGCAGGCUGCGAGGCUGACACCUUCACCCACCCACCCUUUCCUAAACGCAUCCUGCAGCCUUCCUAAGCGCACAGCACCAGAUCCUACUUUGCCCUGAAGGCACCCGUGGUGGACUGAGGACCGAACGGGCCAGCUAGCCUUCAGCCCCCACCCGAUUCCCAGUGCGGCUUGGGCCACUCCAAACCCUUGAGAGUAACAACUUCUUCUUGGGGAGCACAGCACAUCUGGAAUGGUUGUCAGAUUGGGGCAUGGGACUGAGGAUGCCUAGGUCCUGUUCCCACUAACUUCCUCUAUCCACCGUGGAAAAAACUAUUUUGACCACCUCUUGCCUGUUUUCUCAUUAGAGGAUAAGAAAAGCACCGGUCCCAUCACAGAGGUGUUGUGCUCUUUACCCUGUGAGCGGCUUUCAAAUUCCUGCAUGAAACCUGCUACGUAAACUUAACUCUUGAUUUCAGGUGUAGUGAACAUUCAUGAGGUUUAGCUCUCGUCUCAGCAGAAGAGCAGACGCUCACUCAUGCCUGAAAGCGUAAGAUGAAACCGUAUUUCAAACCUGAACCUCUUUGGAGGACCCAGCAUGAGGUCCUGACGCUGCUCCCCAGCAUGCCCAUGCCAUCGCCCAGGCACUCGUAGGCACCAUGCCCGCUAAGGCCCCACAGCCCUACACAGCCGGGUUUCUUCACUAAGGGCCUCUCGUAUGCACCCUGCUUGCUCCAUCGUCCCUUGGAUCAGCCAACUCUUUCCUUUGCUGCAGUAGAGGACAUUUCUUUCGAGGCACCAAGUGGGCUGGGACAAAAACCACCUGCAGAUGUUGCACGCCGAGACCUCACGUGUUCCUGGGGGAGAGCGGCUUGUCCAAGCCCUGCUCAGCUGUCCCAGGACGGUCCUUGUGACGAGGACACCGGUAAAAAAACUAAACAAGACAGCGCUGCCGAGAGAAUCCAUCCCGGAUUUUACGGCGUGCCUCCCGCGCGCUGGGGCAGGACUGGAGGAGUUUUGAGGGUGCCCUGGGAAUACCCGCACACUGCAGACGUAAUUAAUCAAGUUCAGAGGCUGUAUUCUUCGUUACUGUGCCUUGCUGCGCGGGGACAACCUCGGGAGUCUGGCGGACAACCGCUGCCUUGCUGGAAAACAGAUUUGUCUCUUCCUGGUGAAAAUCACACAUGAGAAGAACUUUCGUCUGCAUUUUUUGGUUUAGAAAGUGCCAUCUCUUGAGAAGCCUGAAUUCAAAAAAAGUUCCUCCAAAACUUUAAAAAUCUUUCAGUGAAAAAAAUUGAGUUUUGAAGCUUGAGGCCCAGAAGUUUGAAAGAUUGAUUGACAUUGUGCUUUUCCUGCAGAAAUUUCCAUAUUGGUUAAAAAAGGCAGUAUUGUUAGAACAGGGGAGGCUGUGAGCCGCAGCACACGAUUGCUGGUGCGAGAUGGGGCUGAGCAGCGUGCUCCAGCACUCCCAGAUGGAUGAGAAGGAUCAGGCGGACAGACCGACGCUUUCCAAGCGGUUUGGGGGGUCUCUGCUAUCACAAGCUGUCCAGCCACGUGAUGGGGGAAGGUUUUUUUGACACAGCAGAUCGGGGAAUAUGUUGUCCUUUAGCAACUUGAUUAUUAGUCUUUCAUUUAAAAGAAUGAUCAGAAAGAGCAAAAAAAUGCCAAAAAACUUUGGGCAAAACCCAGUUCUCCUCUUUGCUCUGCACCUGGCACAAUGUGCUCUCAUUCCUCACGGAAAGGUCCACUUUGGGAAUAAAGACAUAGUGCUGGCUAUCCUGCCACCCAUAAGGCAUCCUUGCCCUCAGACUAGGCCCAAGAGUGCAAGAAGCCGCCAAAGGCUAAUUGUGACUGAUCUGUUAAUCAGAUAUUCAACAUGAGGCUGCACAAAGAAUUAGGGCCGUGAUGACAAAAAGCCGCAGAGCAGCGCGUCUUGCAGAAGAAGACUGGCAGGUUCUCCCAGGACAUGACUUGAACAUGGCCAUACGCCGAGGUAAAGCUGCUGGUGUGAGCAGCGAGCCCGGGGCCUGGGACCCAGCCUGUGCCAGGGAAAUACCUCGACUGUGAGCAGCACGUGGGCGCACGCUUACAGCUACGCACACGCUCACGUGCUGCGCUGGAGGUGCAGGGAAAGCAAAGCAAAGCAAAGCGCUAGGCAGCUCGUGUCGUCGAGGUCAGCUUUUGAAAUGAGAGGUCUCCAUGCAACAGAUGUCUAACCCAAAGGGCUCCCCAGAACGGCUGUUCCCAGCUGCCAAGGAGUGGGUACUGGUUACCAGCAGAGCUUGCGUGUAAUCCCCCAUGGAAAGUAUGUGCCCUGGGUGCACCUCACCUGCCCGUGCGCUGCCGGUGUCGCUGCUCGCUCUGGCAUCUCUGCUCUCGAUUUCAAGGGAAAACUGAUAAGAAGAGAGAGAAAGUGAGAGAGAGCAGAGACUCGAGCCGGUGUCCCUUGCAGAGGCCGUGCCCUGCUGCCGUUGUUGCGAUAGAGAUGGGAGAAACCCCAGAGCCUCUCUUCUGCAGAGCCAGCGUGGCAAAGGGCUCCUUUAUCUCCCCUCCGGUGCGAGAUAAGGUAUCAGUGUUGUCCUGCCAGAGCAGCUGUGUAUCUCCGGCAGAUACCUCCCCUUGCUGCAGCAAGCUUUCAGGCACUCUGGAAAGAUUUGAGCAAGACCGUAUCUCUGAAACCCGGGCGCAACGGAAAGACGCACAGGGUGGGUCGCAUCCUCACCGCGGGGCUCGGAGCGCCUCGCUGCCCGCGCGAGGACCGGGCCGCCUGCCUCAGCUUGCAGGCCUGGCCGCGAGGGUCCUGUGCAGGACGGGGACCCCAGACCGAACCAGGGCCGGGCGCUGGGCUCCGCACGGCCCAGGGAACCCGCGCAUUUUCACUGAUUUCUCCGGCCGGUGGAGGUGCGAUCCCUGUCCGGCACCGCUGCUCGCCGAGCCCGGCCAGCUGCCGGCACGGUCAGACGGGAAAACCGCUGCCGAAGCACACCGAAACGAAGCCCUUCGCCUCACUCCAUGAAUUCCAGCUGUCCCUAUCCCCCACCAGCACCACCUACGCAGACAGUUGGGUGAGAUUUUCCUAGUCUGGUUAAUCUCCCUUAAGGGAAUAUACCUCCAGGGAUGGGUCUGUCAUCCCCUAAUCAGGGCAGAUGUGCGAGAUUUUGCCAGAAAAGUCCAAAUCCUAAAUGCAGAACUUCUCUUUCAGUGGAAACACAAAAUAUGCAUUUUGUAUGCUCACCCUAAAGCAACACCAAAUGAUAAAAAGAGUAAAGCUCACCCCAGAUCUGCCCUCCUUUGAGGAUGCAGCAAGAAAACGUCCCUUCCCCGUUUCAAAGCUUAAUGAGCUGCUUUGAUGAUACCUGAAUAUUUUUAGAACUGACCAAACUUAACAACUGUUUUAAUGAGUCAGUGAGAACUGUAUCUUACUGCAACAAGCUGCUUACUUUAAUGCCUCUCACAUAUAUGUGUAUUUGAAAAGCAUGAGCUGGGUUUCUCCAGGGUGACUUAUCAUCAUCUGGGAAUUUGAACCUCCUCUUUGAUUGUGCUCUGCCGUCCCCUACAAAGGACCUGGUUGCACAGCUUUUGGAAGCUCUUCAGUGGCAAUUUCUAUGAAAUCCUCAUGCAACAUCAUGAGGAAAGUCUGGGAGGAAAAGGCAUAUCAUCAAAAAAAAAAAAAAAAAAAAAGGAGGAUAAAGCAUAAAAGCCAUGCUUUUGCAGAGGCUGACAAAAGAGCUCACCACAAGGGAUUAAAGCUCUCGGAGCAGGCGGCUGAGUGCCAGCGGUUCGGUGGUGCAUCGGCACACUUCUCCACGUGGCAAAAGCAGGAGACUCGGCAGCACCUUUGUGUUGGCCAACACGAGAUUGGCUUCUGGGUGAAGCCACUGAAAGGGGAAGUAUUUCCCUCUCACCAAAUGCAUGCGCUGAAAGCUGUUUGCAUGGCACAAAAUGGUGUUAGAUCCUGGGGAGGCAACUUCUGGGCUGCUCUAUCCGUCACCGAAGUCCUGAGAGCUACAGAGCCCUUCUCCGCUGCACUUUCAGCUGACACCCUCUUUCCCAACAGCUUUUGCUACUCAGUAAACAGACAAGAAUAAUUGAAAUUUAAAACCUGCCCAGAUGCAGAGCACUUGCAAAUGAUUAAAAGUUUUAAUUGUCAAAAAUACUUGGUGUGUUGAAAAAUACACUCAGGGCCGGUUCUGAUCUCAUUUGCGUGGGACUCAGUCCGGAAGAGAUCUCCGUGGAGAAAUCCAGAAGAAAGGAAGGGACAUUGAACUAAUGGCGUUCUAAAGAAAUUAGCUAGUGCUUAUGGAUAUUAAGCCAAAUAACACACAGCUGAAUAGAGCUCGAUGUCUUCUUUAUAAAAUUAAUAAAGUGCAUAAUAGAUAA